AACUAAACAAAACUGUCUGAAAACUGGGACAAGGCCCCCAGUAGACCAAAACAUGACUAAAGAUAAAUAUCUAAAAGUAAACAGGCCUUUUGGAAUAUAGAAGGCUCACCCCUGGACAAUCUGCUCUGCGAUCUGAAAUAUCUACUGUUUAUCUGGACCCCUAGACUGUGUCUCAAAACUUGGAAGAAAGGAGGGGGGUCAGCACAAAUGUACUGGCACGCGAAACAAUCCAAAAUAAAGUAUUUGAACAUAUAUAUAAUAGAUGAGACCAAUUUUCAUCAACAUAUCACAUAAAAUAGCUUCUGAAAACACAUGGGUUUUAUUCAAAAUCAUAAGAUAUUCUUGUCAUAACAAUUUCUGAUCUUUGUAUUACUUCUAGUUAGGUGGCACUCCCCUACAAGUCUGAUAUUCCACGGGCUAUACGAAAUCCGCCAUUGACUCGGCGGGGAAGCCCCCAACCCAAGUGUGCCGCAAGGGUUGGAGUGUCUGAGUCUGAUACGCCACACGACACUUAAGCCAGCGUAUAAUAAUAUACCUGGAUCGGCAAAUCACGGUUUUAGGCAAUGAGUUGUCUGAACUCACGCCUUCUUUGGGGAUCACCUAACAUCUCUUUAUGCCCAAUUUUUAACCUUUUCUGAACAUAUCAUUCUGAAAUUUCUUAAUCGUGAAAGUCUGAUAAAAUCUGAUUUCUGAACUAGUUUAUGUCUGUUAUGGCAUUUUUCUGAGUUGGUAUCGUCAUACCAAGACUUGUAAUUCCUAUUUCUGAGCCAUAAUGCAUUAAGCAUGACCUUUUGUAGUUUCAGACCACCCAAACAUGUAAUUUGCAUAAAAGAUUUCAUGUUCCGAAACUCAAGUUAAAACCAUGCAAAAACUUUCAUCAAACAUAUGGUGGUCAUGUGCUUUUGGCAAAACCAUGCACUCUUUCAUUAUAUGUAUAUUCAACAUUCACAAAUUUACAACCCUCUCUUUCGUGUUCAAAAUCGUAUUCCAAACAUAGCAAAGUCAAAGCAUUUCAUAUCAUGAUUUUUUCAAGACGUAUUUCAAAACAAUCUAUAUCAUGUGAAACAUGGAAAAAUUACAUCAAGAGAGGGAUUUCAUGUAAAUCGUGCUCUCAAUUCAUAUUUCAAGGCAAAACACAUAUAUACAUAUACAUAUAAUUUUCAAGUCACUAUGGGGGAAAGCCAAAAGGCUAAAACAAUAUCAUUUAAAACUUCUAAAACAUGAAUAUGUACAUGAAUUCAAAAACCCCUUUCUUAAAACAUGAUAUCUAUGCUCAUGAGAAUUUAGGAAAACCCCGCAUACCUCUAUUUAAGAAAUUGAUAGAUGAUCCUUGAAGCCUACGAUGUGGAGAUUCCAAAUCUCUAAUUAUCUUCCAAAACCCACGGUUGAAUCUUGAGUUAUUUGGGAUUUUUGUUUGAAACCCUACGGGGGUGUUCUUGAGAGAAAAUUUGAGAAAAGGAUUAUAUUUUGAUGAAUUGGGAGUUAAAUCUGGUGUUAUAGACGAAAUUUGGGUGAGGUGAAAUGACUAAAAUGCCCCUAAGAAAACAAACAAAG
rnacentral:lncRNA from 1 species